rnacentral:rRNA from 1 species
CGGACGGGUGAGUAACACGUGGAUAACCUACCUAUAAGACUGGGAUAACUUCGGGAAACCGGAGCUAAUACCGGAUAAUAUAUUGAACCGCAUGGUUCAAUAGUGAAAGACGGUUUUGCUGUCACUUAUAGAUGGAUCCGCGCCGCAUUAGCUAGUUGGUAAGGUAACGGCUUACCAAGGCGACGAUGCGUAGCCGACCUGAGAGGGUGAUCGGCCACACUGGGACUGAGACACGGCCCAG